UAAUACGGAGGGUGCAAGCGUUAAUCGGAAUUACUGGGCGUAAAGCGCACGCAGGCGGUUUGUUAAGUCAGAUGUGAAAUCCCCGGGCUCAACCUGGGAACUGCAUUUGAAACUGGCAAGCUAGAGUCUCGUAGAGGGGGGGUAGAAUUCCAGGUGUAGCGGUGAAAUGCGUAGAGAUCUGGAGGAAUACCGGUGGCGAAGGCGGCCCCCUGGACGAAGACUGACGCUCAGGUGCGAAAGCGUGGGGAGCAAACAGGAUUAGAUACCCUGGUAGUCCACGCUGUAAACGAUGUCGAUUUGGAGGUUGUGCCCUUGAGGCGUGGCUUCCGGAGCUAACGCGUUAAAUCGACCGCCUGGGGAGUACGGCCGCAAGGUU
rnacentral:rRNA from 1 species